GUAUCGGCUAACUCCGUGCCAGCAGCCGCGGUAAUACGGAGGAUACGAGCGUUAUCCGGAUUUAUUGGGUUUAAAGGGUGCGCAGGCGGUCUGUCAAGUCAGGGGUGAAAAGCCGAGGCUCAACCUUGGUCUUGCCCUUGAAACUGGUGGACUGGAGAGUACAUGAUGUGGGCGGAAUGCGUAGUGUAGCGGUGAAAUGCAUAGAUAUUACGCAGAACUCCGAUUGCGAAGGCAGCUCACAAAAGUAUAUCUGACGCUGAGGCACGAAAGCGUGGGUAUCGAACAGGAUUAGAUACCCUGGUAGUCCACGCAGUAAACGAUGAAUACUUGAUGUAGGAGGUAUCGACCCCUUCUGUGUCGAAGUUAACGUAUUAAGUAUUCCACCUGGGGAGUACGACCGCA
rnacentral:rRNA from 1 species